CAGUUGCUCAGUAGGCAGUGUAGAUCCUGUAUAAUGAUCAGCAGCUACAUCUGGCUACUGGGUCUCUG
rnacentral:pre_miRNA from 8 species